AGGUGGUAUUUCUGCUCCCUCUGUGAGAUCUCACAGCUAAAAUUUUCGUAAGGACUUCAGUCUCAGAACCCCUCCCUACCUUCAACAAUAUCUAAAAAUCUGAUUCAGUGGAUAUGCAAAUGCCAAAGCUGCAUGAGUACUGGAAGUUAAAAAGCAGUAAUGCAAGCUUGCUCCUAUGAUGUGUUUGAAACAGUCUUGAGCUCCUGAGACUCUGAUCUUGAGAAAACUACCCUUAAACUUUUUUUUUUUUCUUCUUUUUUUCUUUUCUUUUUUUUAAGUUAAGAGCUAAAAUACAUUUUGCUAUCAGGUGCUUCAGAGAGAAAUGUGUGGUGUCUCCAUAACUACCACUCAUGACAGGAGGAACAAGAACAAGGAUGAUAAGCACCUGUCACUGUCGGAAACCCCCAGGAUCAAAUAACAGCCACCCUGGGAUAACAGAGGUUGGUGAAGAAGCUGUGGAGUCAAUGGCAGAAGCUUAUUGACACAACUCAUCACAAAAGUCCUGCUCUGAGAGCAGUGGGACAGAGAAAAAGAGUCUCCAAAAAAUCCAGAUGCUGGUUAAACAUAUUCUUAGCUGAUCUACCCAUUUCAGUGCUGGCUAGGCAAUCUCUCCUCUUCUCUAUUACAUUUCUUCUCCAUUACAUUUCUUCAUCUGAACAAGAAAAAGAAGGAAAAAGGAAAGGAUAGAAGACAAGGAUCACUGCAAAUGAUAACAUAGAACAAUUUUCUUCCAUAAGACUGUUUCCAUCGUGGUGUCUUUGUCUAUUUCUAGACCUUAGAAUGCUCUUUGUAUGGCAAAUAAAUAAAUAAAUAAAUAAAUAAAUAAAUAAAUAAAUAAAACUUAUAACAGGAAAAUUGGCCUCCAAAAUUCCCAGUUAGAAGUUAAUGAAUGCAUGUUAUUAGCUUCAUGAUACUUUCUUUUUUAGGCUUGUUGACCUUGUCUUGCCCCGGAGUCUCUUCCCUUGGUGGUGCUUUACAGAGAUGUGAUCUCUUAUUCUGCUUUUCAGACUUCUUCAGUGGAUGCCAUUUCUAUAAUUCCCACAUUUACUGGCUUCCCAAACUACCUUAGGUGUUCUCUCCCUUUUGUUGUUGAAAGCUGCGUUAGAAAUCAAGAAGUAUAAAGUUCAGACUAACACAAGUCAGGAUAAAAAGCCUAAUCACAUUGCUUCAAAAGUCUUCCUUGAGCUUUUCUUGUCAGUAGAAUUGUUUCCUCUAAGGUAAAAGGCAGUAGAAAAAUAUCCAUCAGCUCCAAUCAUGUCAGGUGUUGGGACAGCACAACUUAAAAAUGUAAAGAAAUUCUUGCAGUCUUGUAAUCAUUGCCACUGAUAGCUCAGUUCUCAUACAACUCCUGUUCUCUUCCUCCUAGAUGCUUAAUAAAUCUGAAACUAGUUAGAAGAGGAGCAGCAGACAGGUAAGCUGGCUGGCAUUUCUCCUUUGCUGUCACCUCUACAGAAAUAAAUGCAAAUAUUUUGUUUUGAUUAAGCACUUUCAAUUAAAACAAAAUUAUAAUUCAAUGCAGCUGAGGAUAUUCUUCCCAAAAUGUCCAGUAGGCCAUGCGCACAGGGCACACAUGCUUGAGAGGAUAAAGUAAACAUAUUUGGUGGGCUUUGCUUUGCAGAACAAACAUAUUCAUGGCCAUUUUACUUCUCAAAUGAGAGGGGCUAUGCCUGCUGCACUGGGAGUGGAAUAUAAUAUUCUCUAGAAACAAAGACUUGCUAUGUUUUCUUAAGUGCAUAUUAAAAUAAUAAAAGCUGUAAGCAGCAAGAUACGGUGAUUUAGUUUUCCUGAUUGAAAGUUGCUGCAUGCAUAUCUUUGUUUGGAAGAUGUUUUGGCUAAUUAAAGAAAUAGAAUCAAAUGAACCUUAACAUAAACCCCUAGAGAAUAUUACCAUUGCAAAAAUUUUCAGGAAAAGACCCUUAUUUAAAACACUACAGUUUUCUGUGACAUAGGCAUUUCUGGAAGGAUUUUUACUUUGCAUUGGACAUGACUUAACGGUUACAAUUUGUUAUGCAGUUUUAAUUCUGUUUUUAAGAGGAUUUAAGGUAUGGAUAUUGUUUAGUUUAAUUUUUAAACUACAUUGUUUACUUAUUGAUUUCUGAUAGAACUUGGAAACAAAAAAAAAAGGGAUUUUACAAGA